rnacentral:rRNA from 4 species
GUGGACGCCAGUCUGCAUGGAGCCGACCUUGAAAUACCACCCUUUAAUGUUUGAUGUUCUAACGUGGACCCGUAAUCCGGGUUGCGGACAGUGUCUGGUGGGUAGUUUGACUGGGGCGGUCUCCUCCUAAAGAGUAACGGAGGAGCACGAAGGUUGGCUAAUCCUGGUCGGACAUCAGGAGGUUAGUGCAAUGGCAUAAGCCAGCUUGACUGCGAGCGUGACGGCGCGAGCAGGUGCGAAAGCAGGUCAUAGUGAUCCGGUGGUUCUGAAUGGAAGGGCCAUCGCUCAACGGAUAAAAGGUACUCCGGGGAUAACAGGCUGAUACCGCCCAAGAGUUCAUAUCGACGGCGGUGUUUGGCACCUCGAUGUCGGCUCAUCACAUCCUGGGGCUGAAGUAGGUCCCAAGGGUAUGGCUGUUCGCCAUUUAAAGUGGUACGCGAGCUGGGUUUAGAACGUCGUGAGACAGUUCGGUCCCUAUCUGCCGUGGGCGCUGGAGAACUGAGGGGGGCUGCUCCUAGUACGAGAGGACCGGAGUGGACGCAUCACUGGUGUUCGGGUUGUCAUGCCAAUGGCACUGCCCGGUAGCUAAAUGCGGAAGAGAUAAGUGCUGAAAGCAUCUAAGCACGAAACUUGCCCCGAGAUGAGUUCUCCCUGAGACUUAGAGUCUCCUGAAGGAACGUUGAAGACGACGACGUUGAUAGGCCGGGUGUGUAAGCGCAGCGAUGCGUUGAGCUAACCGGUACUAAUGAACCGUGAGGCUUAACCUUACAACGCCGAAG